UCCUAGUACGAGAGGACCGGAGUGGACGCAUCACUGGUGUUCGGGUUGUCAUGCCAAUGGCACUGCCCGGUAGCUAAAUGCGGAAGAGAUAAGUGCUGAAAGCAUCUAAGCACGAAACUUGCCCCGAGAUGAGUUCUCCCUGACUCCUUGAGAGUCCUGAAGGAACGUUGAAGACGACGACGUUGAUAGGCCGGGUGUGUAAGCGCAGCGAUGCGUUGAGCUAACCGGUACUAAUGAACCGUGAGGCUUAACCUUACAACGCCGAAG
rnacentral:rRNA from 1 species